GACGAACGCUGGCGGCGUGCCUAAUACAUGCAAGUAGAACGCUGAAGGAGGAGCUUGCUCUUCUGGAUGAGUUGCGAACGGGUGAGUAACGCGUAGGUAACCUGCCUGGUAGCGGGGGAUAACUAUUGGAAACGAUAGCUAAUACCGCAUAACAGUAGAUGUUGCAUGACAUUUACUUAAAAGGUGCAAUUGCAUCACUACCAGAUGGACCUGCGUUGUAUUAGCUAGUUGGUGGGGUAACGGCUCGCCAAGGCGACGAUACAGAGCCGACCGGAGAGUGGGCUCGACCCCACUGGUCCUGCGCCACCGCCCCGCCUCCUGCGGGAAGGAGCAGUACUGAACCUUCGGCAAUGGAAGGAAGUCUGACCGUGCACCGCCGCGUGAGAGAAGAAGGUUUUCGGAUCGUGAAGCUCGGUUGUGCGAGAAGAACGAGUGUGAGAGUGGAAAGUUCACACUGUGACGUUAUCUUCUCAGAAAGGCAGGGCUAACUACGUG
rnacentral:rRNA from 1 species